GACGAACGCUGGCGGCGUGCUUAACACAUGCAAGUCGAACGGAAAGGCCCUGCUUUUGUGGGGUGCUCGAGUGGCGAACGGGUGAGUAACAAGUGAGUAACCUGCCCUUGACUUUGGGAUAACUUCAGGAAACUGGGGCUAAUACCGGAUAGGAGCUCCUGCUGCAUGGUGGGGGUUGGAAAGUUUCGGCGGUUGGGGAUGGACUCGCGGCUUAUCAGCUUGUUGGUGGGGUAGUGGCUUACCAAGGCUUUGACGGGUAGCCGGCCUGAGAGGGUGACCGGCCACAUUGGGACUGAGAUACGGCCCAGACUCCUACGGGAGGCAGCAGUGGUGAAUAUUGCACAAUGGGCGGAAGCCUGAUGCAGCAACGCCGCGUGCUGGAUGACGGCCGUCGGGUUGUAAACCGCUUUCGCCUGUGACGAAGCGUGAGUGACGGUAAUGGGUAAAGAAGCACCGGCUAACUACGUG
rnacentral:rRNA from 1 species